GGCGGCGUGCUUAACACAUGCAAGUCGAGCGGUAAGGCCCCUUCGGGGGUACACGAGCGGCGAACGGGUGAGUAACACGUGAGCAACCUACCCUCAACUUUGGGAUAAGCCUCGGAAACGGGGUCUAAUACCGGAUAACAUCGAUCACCUCCUGGUGGUUGGUUGAAAGUUCUGGCGGUUGGGGAUGGGCUCGCGGCCUAUCAGCUUGUUGGUGGGGUAAUGGCCUACCAAGGCGUCGACGGGUAGCCGGCCUGAGAGGGCGACCGGCCACCCUGGGACUGAGACACGGCCCAGACUCUACGGGAGGCAGCAGUGGGGAAUAUUGCGCAAUGGACGAAAGUCUGACGCAGCAACGCCGCGUGAGGGAUGACGGCCUUCGGGUUGUAAACCUCUUUCAGCAGGGACGAAGCGAGAGUGACGG
rnacentral:rRNA from 1 species